CUCAGUUUCCCCCAGCUGGCUGGGCUGUCGGCUCCUGCUCCCAGGGCAGCAGUUAAGGGGAUCAUGUUCGUACACGGAGCUGAAUUCCAGUGGCUGUGCCCGUGUAAGUGCUGAGUGCUAUUAACAACCAACAGCAGCUCCCCUUCCUGCCUUUGCCUCGGGCCAUUCCAGCCCAGUGAAGCGUCACCGGCAGCGCUACCCGGCAAUGCAAACCUCGGGAUACGCUGGAAACCUGGAGCUGGGACCUGGAGAAGUGCCUGGCUUUAUCCAGGCUGAUGGUGCAGGAGCUCAGGCUGGCCGGGAGGUGGGAGAGACACCUGAAGGAGACGGGAACAUCCCCUGGAAGCCCAGAAUUAUUCAAAACCCGACAUGCUACAGGAGACCAAAACUCAGAGGAGGAGAUGAAAGACUGAACUGCAGAGCACUGAGAGGAUGCACAAUGAGAGGCCACCCCUGCUGUCCCAUCUCUGGGCGGUCCUGCUGCCAAUCCUGCUGAAUUCCAAAGGCUUCCUUUCCUUCCGGAAUGCCGAGUUAGCGAUGAUCCAUCAGAGGGAAAUACCUAAACCUCACGUCGCGUCCAGGAGCCUGCUCGGAGAAGAAAGAAGAUUUUGUGUGAAGGCAGCGCUCACCAGCGAGGCUCCACAUCAAAAGGAUGUUUUUCCACGGACUAAAGAGCGAGAUUCAUUCUCCAUCCGGGCCCAGAUUCGCACUGACACCGGGAAGACUUUCAGGCAGCCACACUUUGUUUACUUAAAAGCUUGGAGGAAGGGAAAAUGUCACAAGUGCUCAUGUAGAGCUGCGUGUGCCCCAGUCGGACACCUCCAGCACGGCUCUUUGUACAAGCAAAACCCUCCCCGCGGGCCGGGGAGCGCUGCACAAAUCAUCUGCCCAAUCAUUUACGGCCAUGAAUAAUUCAUGGACAGGCAAAUGUGUUCACAAGCAAUUCCUGGGAAGGGCUGGGAGCUGUUCAAGGGAUGGAUGUGCUGCUGCUGCUGCUGUGAACCUGAGCGGGUUUUCCUUGGAGCUCCAGCCCUCUGAACAUCAGUGCCUGUCCCCCAUCCCGGGCUCUGUCCCCUCCCUGUCCCAACAGCUGGAAACCCCAGUGUCUCCCUCAAGGGCUCAUUCCCAUGGAACAUCUGAAUUACUUCAUGGCACUCCUUUAGUUCAAUCUGAAUUUAUUUUCCUAUCUUCAGGCUGACAGUGGAGGUGCAGAACUGCUUUGCUGAAGCUGCAGAGCUCACGCAGCUCCAUCCCUCCAAACAU
rnacentral:lncRNA from 1 species